GAUGAACGCUAGCUACAGGCUUAACACAUGCAAGUCGAGGGGUAACGAGAGGAAAGCUUGCUUUCCUUGUCGACGACCGGCGCACGGGUGAGUAACGCGUAUCCAACCUGCCCCCAACUAGGGAAUAACCUUGCGAAAGUAAGACUAAUACCCUAUAAUUUCCUCAGAUGACAUCUGACGAGGAAUAAAGAUUUAUCGGUUGUGGAUGGGGAUGCGUCUGAUUAGCUUGUUGGCGGGGUAACGGCCCACCAAGGCAACGAUCAGUAGGGGUUCUGAGAGGAAGGUCCCCCACAUUGGAACUGAGACACGGUCCAAACUCCUACGGGAGGCAGUAGUGAGGAAUAUUGGUCAAUGGGCGGAAGCCUGAACCAGCCAAGUAGCGUGCAGGAUGACGGCCCUAUGGGUUGUAAACUGCUUUUAUACAGGAAUAAAGUUAGCCACGUGUGGUUAUUUGUAGGUACUGUAUGAAUAAGGACCGGCUAAUUCCGUGCCAGCCGCCGCCGUAAAAC
rnacentral:rRNA from 1 species